rnacentral:lncRNA from 1 species
CCUGAGAUCACCCUAAGUUUUUGGUGGGGUUCGUGUUGCUUAGUCUUUAGUUUUUUUAUGUUGUGUCUUCUGUACUAUUAUUUGUCUGUUUGUCUUUUUGUCUUUUUAUUUUUAGCCAUGGCGUUGUCAGUUUAUUUUCUAUCUUUGAGUUUGACUUUCCCUCUGGUAUUUUUUGAACUAAGUCCCUAGCUGGCGGUCAUCUUGGAUGAUAGAUGGGCUACAAAGUAACAACAUAUGGUCAGCACCUCAUAAGGAUCAU